UGUGAUCGUAGCGAAACGUAGGUUCUAUUUUUAAAUAUUUUAUUUCAUUUUUGAUCUGUUGGUGUACUGUUCUAAUUGUAGCUUUGUUUGCUUUGUGUAUGUGUGGCCUUGAAUGCUUGUGUGUCGAUAAUCGAUGAUCGAGAUUAGACAGUGGGCAUUACUUCGGUGAUCAAGAUCAGAGCCUUGGAAGCAAGUAAGAUCAGCAGG
rnacentral:lncRNA from 1 species